AACGAACGCUGGCGGCGUGGAUAAGACAUGCAAGUCGAACGGGACAUUUUUAGUAGUAAUAUUAGAGAUGUUCAGUGGCGAACGGGUGCGUAACACGUGGAUACAUUCCGGAAAGCGGGGGAUAGCCCAGGGAAACUUGGAUUAAUACCGCAUGUGGUCGAAAGACUAAAGACGGGGAUCGAAAGACCAGUCACUUUCAGAUUGGUCCGCGGCCUAUCAGCUAGUUGGCGGGGUAAAAGCCCACCAAGGCGACGACGGGUAGCUGGUCUUAGAGGACGACCAGCCACACUGGAACUGAGACACGGUCCAGACACCUACGGGUGGCAGCAGUCGAGAAUCUUUCACAAUGGGGGCAACCCUGAUGGAGCGACGCCGCGUGGAGGAUAAGGUCUUCGGAUUGUAAACUCCUGUCAUGCGAGAACAAGGUUGCAGGGCUAAUACCCGUGCAAAUUGAUGGUACCGCAAGAGGAAGAGACGGCUAACUCUGUGCCAGCAGCCGCCGUAA
rnacentral:rRNA from 1 species